rnacentral:tRNA from 1 species
GCCCGUGUGGCUCAGUGGUUGAGCGUCGACCUAUGAACCAGGAGAUCCAGGUUUGAUUCCCGGUCAAGGGCA